rnacentral:lncRNA from 1 species
AAAGGGGAAAAAAAGCAGCAAUACGACAAGCGGCGGCGUGCUGCCAAAACUAUCAUUACGUCCAUUACUAACAUUACUCUAAAUUACCAUUACAACCAU